rnacentral:ncRNA from 1 species
AGUGCCGCUGAUGAGGGGUCGUUCUGAGAUUAUACGGUUAUAUGAACUUGAUCUGGAUAAUACCAGCGAAAGGAUCAUGCUCUUCCAUUCC